CACGCACAAAAUACCGGAAGUGGGCGAGGCAACGAACGGAAACCAACCGAAGUGACCCGUUCCCGGGGUCGUUCAGCGACAGACGCCGGGGCUGGGCCUCCCCCUCCAGCGCGCGCGGGGCAGGCCGCUUGUUCGCGCCUCCCACCCCCGAGGGAAUCAAAGCACAAUGGUUCACAGCCAAUCCAGGAAACGCUCCCAAAGCAGGAGUGAAAGCGAUUCUCAAAGCAGGCAGGACAAAAAGGAUGAAAAGAAAAGAAGAAAAAGCAGUAAAGACUCAAAGAAGAGCAGCCAGUCUCCUCCAAGGAAGAAGGCAGCCAGGUCUCACAGAUGCAGGUCGAGCUCAGCUUCUACUAAAGAAGAGAAAAAGAAGGCCAAAGACAAGAAGAGGAAAAAGGCAAGUACCUCCUCCUCUGAGACGACAAGUUCGUCUUCUGGGACUUCCUCCUCCUCUAGCUGCUCUUCAGAUGAUUCGAGUGACAGUGAAUCCAAACUGAAAAAGAGGAGACACAGCAAGAAGAAACGAACAAAACAGAAAGACAAAAAGAGAAAGAAGAAAAAAAUAAAAAAGAAACUGAAAAAGAAAUCGAAGGACCGGCCUAAAGAGGAGAGAGCCAUGGUGGAAGGCGUGCCAGGCCCUUCACUGGAGCAGUGGCAGAAAGAAUCUUUGGUGGAACCUGGCCCAGUUUUGACAGAUGAGCAAAAGUCCCGCAUCCAGGCUAUGAAACCAAUGACGAAAGAAGAAUGGGACGCAAGGCAAAGUGUCAUCAGAAAAGUCGUGGACCCCGAAACGGGAAGAACAAGGCUUAUUAAGGGAGAUGGAGAAGUACUAGAAGAAAUUGUCACCAAAGAAAGACACAAAGAGAUUAACAAGGCCUCCUCCUCUAGUAGCUGGGUUUUAGGCACAUGGGUCAGAUGGAGACAACACACUUCCCUUUUAUAAAGGAGCUAGUUAUGGCACAAACCUCCCUGGGACCAUACGUUUAACAAGGACACUGACAGCAGCCAGGAUGAGAGGGGGACAAGCUGUGGACAAACAGGCUUUGCACAGAGAGCUUCCCUUUGAGCUUCAGGUUUGAAAGGAUUUAAAAAUUCAAAGUAAAGUUCAAUCCAAACAUCACAUGGUUUUUGCGUCAAAAUCAUGCAAUGCUGCAAGACUAUGAUAUGAAAUGGGCCCAGAUUGACUCCAAAUGGUUCAGAUCUUUAAUGAACCUCUCUCCAAGAACCUGCUCCAGUAACAAAAGCCAGCACCAAGCAAGUCAUGUGUGAUUUGAUAGUUUCCAUGAAACAUAGUGUUCCAUGUGCAUAGCAGUAAGUAUUAUUUCCAACGCAGCUGUAUUUGACAUAGCAUGGGAAGGGAAAGAAGAUGGAGUGGCAGUUGUGAAGCGUACAUUUUUUCCUCCAUUUGUAUGGUGAGCCCCCAUUAGUGUCAACAAAAGUUAUUUUGGAGGGUGCAGCAAGGUGAAAAUAGUCUCCAAAAUAUUUUCCAACAAAAGUUAGGCAUAAGGGAGGAGAGAGAGAAGCAUGAAAUAUUUAUGGUACCUGUCUCAGCAGAAAGGAGACUACAUCUGUCGAUUCCCAGUAGCUUGCAUGGAAGAGGUGUGGUAAGGCUACCGUCGGAAAGGCAGUCAGGGCAUCAGGACAGUAAAGGGCAUAGUCUAUUCUUUUUGUUCCCCACCAUCUGGCAGCAACUAAUGAAAGAAAAGGCUUGUUAAAGAGAGAGGAGAGAGCUGUUUUAAAUGUUAACCUUAGGCCAUGGGUCCUUGCGCCGGGCAAUUCCUUCCCCGUUGAUUUUAUUGUUAAGAUGAAGCAAAAUUUGAACAGGGCUCAAAAAUAUUAAUGAGCCACCCAAGGAUGGUACGAGGCACAGAGCAUGACAUCUCCUUUAUUAAAUCAAACAGGAUGUCCCUGGAGGGGAGGCAGUAACUAGCCAUUAAUCCACACCCCAGGGGAAUGUGAGACACAGAUCAAAGGCUGGUGACUCCAUGCCCAGCCAGGGUAUUAGAGGCCAUUAAUAAAUACCCUAGAGUCUCUUGUGAAUACCAGAAUAGCGAUAAUCAAAAUAACUUUCAGAUUAGAUGGGGCAUGUACAUGUCAUCAACCCUUCUGGGGAGGGCCAGUGGGUGGCCUCAGUGCAGGGUCACUGCCACUCACAGUGAGUUUGUGACAAUGUGCUGAUGCUGUGGUGAUGGGGAACAAACAAAUCUCUCCAUCCGUACAGCAAAAAUGAAAUAGAAAGAGUCUCUGCUCUGGAGGUGGGACGGGGGAGAGCUAUGGAUGUGUCUAUAUACUGCAGCCAUUCCCAGACCUGAAGAGCUCUGUGUAAGCUCAAAAGCUUGUCUCCCUCACCAACAGAAGUUGGUCCAAUAAAAGCUGUUGUUUCA